rnacentral:rRNA from 1 species
UACGUAGGUGGCAAGCGUUGUCCGGAUUUAUUGGGCGUAAAGCGCGCGCAGGUGGUCUCUUAAGUCUGAUGUGAAAGCCCACGGCUCAACCGUGGAAGGUCAUUGGAAACUGGGUCACUUGAGUGCAGAAGAGGAAAGUGGAAUUCCAUGUGUAGCGGUGAAAUGCGUAGAUAUAUGGAGGAACACCAGUGGCGAAGGCGACUUUCUGGUCUGUAACUGACGCUGAGGCUCGAAAGCGUGGGGAGCAAACAGG